AGGAAGCAGAGGCUGACAGAGGAAUACGUUGCUGUCAACGACACACUGGAGACAUCCAGAGGCUCCAUCUCUGACACUGAGAGGACUGUGGCUGAGAUGGAGGCUAUGGUGCAGAACGUGAGUCAGUACCAUGCAGCGAUUGAUGGUGCCGGCCAAAAGCUGACGGAGAAGACUGAGCGUCUGGUGCUGGCUGACAGAGAUCUGGUGCAGAGGGCUGAUGACCACGCUGAAGACCUGGACCGCCAGGCCAACCAGCUGGAGGAGUGAGACACCCGCCUGAAUUAAAAAUAUAUAAUAUUUAAGUAACAAUACAUGAAGUCCUUACCAGGUUAUAUGUCCUUGUGAUUGCGAAACUUGGGAAAAUGUGCGGUCCUCCACGCACACUCUGACCCAUCCGUACGCGGUACGCACAAAAACGGGAGGGACGAGAAACUGCGACACCGUUGGCAGAAGGAAGAAUGGAGAAAAAUAUGUGGAAAUAAUACCAUAAAUAAAAUGUUACCUCUCAUUUAUCAUAUAUGAAGAAUUCAUUUUCACAAAUUGAUUAAAGCCAAUCUUAAAAAUGAUUAAACAAACGCCUGUUUGAGACUCCUCAGUGCUCACAAAAACAUAACUUGGAGAAAUAAAUAAAUACUGAAAUGUUA